AACGCCAGCUGGAGCAGCUCGCUGAGUAACAUUAUAUAGGUGUCAUAUCAGCGGUGUGCCCUAGGAAGGUUCUGUAUGGCCAAUUGAGUAAUCUUCAACGAAAUGGUUUUGAGCCAUUCACGCUGCUCUGUGCACACCCAAACACGCUUUCCAACUCGUAAUCUACGCUGCCACUCGCAUUGACGUUUGCCCCCACAUUUACAUCGGCGCACAUUGG
rnacentral:lncRNA from 1 species